ensembl:lncRNA Fc receptor-like protein 5
CUGGUGCUUGCAUCUGGAUAUUGUUCUCAUUUCUUCAGCAAGGAUGGAAUCGAUGCAUCUUACACUCAUUCUCAUAGGUAUUUCGGUUUUGCAUCCAAGGAUGGAUGCUCUAGAAAAGCUUGAUGAACCGGUUCUGUCGGGUCCGUCUGCUGCAUUAGAAGGUUCAGUUGUGGAUUUCUUCUGUGAUAUUCCUGAGAAACCGGCAACGUUGUCUGUCCAAUAUGAGCUUUAUGUCGAGACAAACCCGGGUAAGAUGAUUGGGGAGUACUCCUCGCUGUCUGGAGAAUUUGCCACUUUUUCUUUGAUAAUCACCGAACAGCAUGACGGUCGACUCAUCUGCAAGGCCAGCGGACACAAUGACACCGAUAUCGAGAGCUCAUUCAGUAAUGGCAUGGACUUCAGAGUCAUUGUUCCAGUGAAGGAACUGAGCAUCAUUUCACAUCCUUACAUUGAGAACAUAUGGGAAGGACAAACUUUGACCCUCCAGUGCACAAAAACCAAAGGAACGUACGUCUCCUAUGAUUGGCUCUGGAACGACGCACCAGUUCAGAUGCUGUACGACAGGAAUAACGACACUCUGACCAUCCACAGGGUUUCUGCACAAAAUGCAGGCAAUUACAUGUGUGUGGCAUCAAACCAAUAUAAUGACACGACGAUCUUCAACGCCAGCAGUGGUGUGACUGUGUACAUCAGAGAAUAUGUGUCAAAGCCUGAAUUCUCCUUUGAUGUUGUGAAGCUUGAUGAUGGAGGUUAUAAAGCCAUCAUCAUGUGUCAGUCUAAGAAAGGAACGCCGCUCAACACCUUUAGCCUGUUGAACCACACUGACCUCAUCGCCACCGAAACGACCGACACGACCAGUGCGUUCUUUAACAUGCCCAUCGAGCUGAACCGUUACAUGGGACAAAUGAGAUGUAACGCCAGCAACCAGGGCAACUGGGUUCUGAGUGACCCGUACAGCUUGACCGUGGAGUCUGUAGGAGGCGCUGUAACGGUGACGCCCUUCAAACAAGUGGGUCUGGACUUCCAGGUGGUCAACGUGGAACUGCACUGUAAGGUGGAGCGGGGAACGUUUCCACAGUACAGCUGGUUCCUCAACGACAGCAGGCUGCUGGGCCGAAGAGGUUUCUACACAGACAAAUCCAUUCUGUCUCUGUCUGUAGGCCGAGACAGCACUGGAUUCUACCACUGCCAAGCUUCAGACAGAUUUGACAACAGCACCAGCAUCCGCAGCCCAAAGAUGCUGAUCAGUAAAGAGGCACUGAACACAGUCUCUCCUUUGGUUGUGAUCGUUGUUUUCACCUCUUUUGCCCUGCU